rnacentral:pre_miRNA from 1 species
GUUGAGGAGAAUGUUGUCUGGUUCGAAAUCAUUCUAUAGAAAAGUGUGGUUGGAUUCAGUCAUGGGUUUCAAGAUCGUUAAACUUUAUAUAUGUAUGAAAAACAAGUACAAUAUAUAUUUUAGGCCCUAAAAUGUCUAAAUAUAUUCUGAAUCCAUCAUAGAUUAGAUCGUUUGAUCAAUCAAUUUAUUGAGUGAUUUCGGACCAGGCUUCAUUCCCCUCAAC